AUGUGAAAUAGCUCAUCUGGUAGAGUGCAAGACUCUUAAUCUCAGGGUUGUGCGUUCGAGCCCCACUUUGUGUA